AUGUUGUUGACGUGGUCCUUAUCAGGACAGUGGAGCCAGGGUUUGGAGGACAGAAGUUCAUGGCUGAUAUGAUGCCAAAGGUGAAACAUCUUCGAACCAAUUACAAGGUUUUGAAUAUUGAGUUCAUAGAGUUUGUGGACUUGAGCCAAUGAGUGCUUACUGCAUUUUGAUCAAAUUCAAUAAUUUUCUGAUUUACAAUAACAGAAUAACCAUAACAAAAAAAUUAUUUAUUGUUGAAAAUUAAACCUAGAAUUACAGCAUAAUAUAGUGAUAAAAACUAUGGUAACAUUUACUCAGAAUAACUAAAAAGCUAAUCAAGCUGAGUAAAA